UCAAAAUGCGUUGAGGCACAGUUGUUGAUUGGAUAUUUAAGGGUAAAGUACUGUUUCGGUGCAGGGUGUGAAAGUGGUACCAAAUAAUAGGUAAACUUUGAAUAUUAGAUAUGACCUCAAAAUAAUAGGGGUCGAAGUCAACCAGUCAGAUGAUGGGGGAUAAGCUUAAUCGUCGAGAGGGGAAACAACCCAAAUCACCAGCUAAGGCCCCUAAAUGACUGCUUAGUGAUAAAAGAAGUAGGGAUGUAGAGACAUCUAAGAGGUUUGCCUAAAAUCAGCCACCCUUAAAAUAGUGCGUAAUAGCUCACUGAUCGAACACAUUUGCGCGCCAAAGAUGAACGGGGCUAAGAUAUAUUAGCCAAUUAAUGUGAAUUACAUGGUUUAGCUGA
rnacentral:ncRNA from 1 species